AAAUGGAGACCUGUAUGAAUGGCACGACGAGGGCUUAACUGUCUCCUUUCCUCAAGUAAAUGAAAUUGAUCUCUCCGUGCAGAAGCGGAGAUAANNCCAUAAGACGAGAAGACCCUAUGGAGCUUCAGACACUAAAACAGCUCAUGUUAAAACCCCUCACUAAAAGAGACUAAACUAGAUGACCCCUGUCCUAAUGUCUUUGGUUGGGGCGACCACGGGGUAACAAAAAACCCCCGCGCGGAACAGAAACACUGUUUCUACAACCAAGAGCACCNGCUCUAAGUAACAAGACCUACUUGACCUUUGAGAUCCGGCGUGAGCCGAUCAACGGACCGAGUUACCCUAGGGAUAACAGCGCAAUCCC
rnacentral:rRNA from 1 species